UGGGAACCUUCCCUAUGGUUCGGAAUAGCUCAGGGAAACUUGGGGUAAUACCGGAUAAGCCCUUCGGGGAAAGAUUUAUCGCCAUUGGAUGGGCCCGCGUCGGAUUAGCUAGUUGGUGAGGUAACGGCUCACCAAGGCAACGAUCCGUAGCUGGUCUGAGAGGACGAUCAGCCACACUGGGACUGAGACACGGCCCAGACUCCUACGGGAAGCAG
rnacentral:rRNA from 1 species